rnacentral:rRNA from 1 species
ACAUGCAAGUCGAACGGCAGCACAGUAAGAGCUUGCUCUUAUGGGUGGCGAGUGGCGGACGGGUGAGGAAUACAUCGGAAUCUACCUUUUCGUGGGGGAUAACGUAGGGAAACUUACGCUAAUACCGCAUACGACCUUCGGGUGAAAGCAGGGGACCUUCGGGCCUUGCGCGGAUAGAUGAGCCGAUGUCGGAUUAGCUAGUUGGCGGGGUAAAGGCCCACCAAGGCGACGUCCGUAGCUGGUCUGAGAGGAUGAUCAGCCACACUGGAACUGAGACACGGUCCAGACUCCUACGGGAGGCAGCAGUGGGGAAUAUUGGACAAUGGGCGCAAGCCUGAUCCAGCCAUACCGCGUGGGUGAAGAAGGCCUUCGGGUUGUAAAGCCCUUUUGUUGGGAAAGAAAAGCAGUCGGCUAAUACCCGGUUGUUCUGACGGUACCCAAAGAAUAAGCACCGGCUAACUUCGUGCCAGCAGCCGCGGUAAUACGAGGGUGCAAGCGUUACUCGGAAUUACUGGGGCGUAAAGCGUGCGUAGGUGGUUGUUUAAGUCUGUUGUGAAAGCCCUGGGCUCAACCUGGGGAAUUGCAGUGGAUACUGGGGCGACUAGAGUGUGGUAGAAGGUAGUGGAAUUCCCGGUGUAGCAGUGAAAUGCGUAGAGAUCGGGAGGAACAUCCAUGGCGAAGGCAGCUACUGGACCAACACUGACACUGAAGCACGAAAG